CAAGUAGUUGAGAGAGUACAAAAAAUGUAGGUGCACACAUUGAUUUCACCUUGUAAAGUCCAUGAUUAUAAAUCAGACCCUGCAUAUGAUUUUGUAUGUUGUACUGGUCGGAUUCUUUCUCUCACUCAAAGUGCAUACAAACAUAAAUUAUGUCGACAGAAAUGGAGGCCGUAAGUGUUCUUCAGUACCUUGACAACAAGUCCAUAUUGGUCAUUGGAGCGGCUGGGUUCUUAGCAAAUAUUUUUGUGGAGAAGAUAUUAAGGGUGGCACCAAACGUGAAGAAACUCUAUCUUCUUCUAAGAGCAUCAAAUGAAAAAUCUGCUACCCAGAGGUUUAAGGAUGAGAUCUUGGGGAAGGAUUUGUACAAGGUGGUGAAAGAGAAGUAUGGUCCAAAUCUAACUCAACUUACAUCUGAGAAAGUCACUGUCGUCAAUGGGGACAUUUGCCUUGCGGAUUUGGGUAUUCAAGACUCUUUGGCACAUGAGAUGAUCCACCAAGUUGAUGCCAUUAUUAAUUUAGCGGCAACUACUAAGUUUGAUGAACGAUACGAUGUAGCACUUGGGAUCAACACAUUGGGUCCCCUCAAUGUCUUGGAUUUCGCCAAGAAAUGUGAAAACGCUAAGAUCUUUGUUCAUGUAUCAACAGCUUACGUGUCCGGGGAAAAAUCUGGUUUGAUAAUGGAAACACCAUACCGUAUGGGUGAGACGUUGAAUGGAACCACCGGCUUAGAUAUCAACCAUGAGAGGAAAUUGGUCCAGGAGAAACUUGACCAGCUCCUAGUCAUCAAAACCCCUCCCGAAACAAUCACACAAGCCAUGAAGGAUAUGGGACUCACCAGGGCAAAAAUGUACGGAUGGCCAAACACAUACGUUUUCACAAAAGCAAUGGGAGAGAUGAUGGUAGGAGAAAAAAGAGACAAUAUAUCACUUGUGUUGAUCCGUCCAUCAAUUAUUACCAGCACUUUCAAAGAACCAUUCCCUGGUUGGACCGAGGGCAUCAGGACUAUUGAUAGUUUAGCUGUCGGAUACGGUAAAGGCAGACUCACAUGCUUCCUUGGUGAUCUUAAUGCUAUUUCUGAUGUGAUGCCAGCAGAUAUGGUAGUAAAUUCGAUUCUAGUAUCGAUGGCCGCUCAAGCCGGGAAACAAAAAGAGAUUAUUUAUCAUUUGGGUUCCUCGCAAAAAAAUCCGUUGAAGAAUGAGAAAUUUCCUGAAGUAGCAUACCAGUAUUUUACUACCAAACCAUGGACUAACAAAGAUGGGAAGCCAGUUCAUGUACGGAAAAUAGAGAUUCUGAGUUCUAUGCCAAGUUUCCACCGAUACAUGGCCAUACAUUACUCGAUUCCACUAAAGGGACUUGCAGUACUAAACAUGGUACUUUGCAAGUUGUUGGAUAAAAGCGUUACGGAUUUUCAUAGGAAGAUAAAUCUUGCGUUGCGGCUUGUUGAUCUCUAUCAGCCUUACCUCUUUUUCUAUGGGGUGUAAGUGACUUUUUGAGCUUCUCACUAAGUUUUUUUCUCUAAUCUAAUGUGGUUUGAGAUUUAAAAUAUAUGUUAACGUUAUGCUAUGUGAUUACAUAUGUUCAGAUUUGAUGAUUCAAACACAGAAAAACUGCAAAGAAUGGUGUUGAAAACCGGAGUCGAAACUGAGAUGUUCUAUUUUGAUCCAAAGAUUAUCAACUGGGACGACUAUUUUGUGAAGACACAUAUUCCUGGGUUGGUUAAGUACGUUUUCUAGUGAUAUCAUUUCAGUAAUAUUUAUUUUAUCGUGAUCAAAAGAGUAGAAACUAUGUGGAAGUUAUACUACUCGUUGGUUUGUUUUCAUAUGGCUAUGUUUUCAAAAGUGUGUUAUUGACCUGGGUUUUUUUAUUUCUUAUUUCUUAUUUCAGCAUCUGUAUCUCUAUAAAGUUAUUUUUUCAAUAUAGUUUUAUUUUACUGUCGUAAUCUAUA